CCUACGGGCGGCAGCAGUGAGGAAUAUUGGUCAAUGGACGAGAGUCUGAACCAGCCAAGUAGCGUGAAGGAUGACUGCCCUAUGGGUUGUAAACUUCUUUUAUAAAGGAAUAAAACGAGGCACGUGUGCCUUUUUGCAUGUACUUUAUGAAUAAGGAUCGGCUAACUCCGGGCCAGCAGCCGCGGUAAUACGGAGGAUCCGAGCGUUAUCCGGAUUUAUUGGGUUUAAAGGGAACGUAGAUGGGUUGUUAAGUCAGUUGUUAAAGUUUGCGGCUCAACCGUAAAAUUGCAAUUGAUACUGGCAGUCUUGAGUACAGUUGAGGUAGGCGGAAUUCGUGGUGUAGCGGUGAAAUGCUUAGAUAUCACGAAGAACCCCGAUUGCGAAGGCAGCUUACUAAACUGUGACUGACAUUGAUGCUCGAAAGUGUGGGUAUCAAACAGGAUUAGAUACCCUUGUAGUC
rnacentral:rRNA from 1 species